UGUGUUUCCAUGACAACAGAAUGUCCCAUUAAGGCUUCACCGUCAGCCUGGACAACAGAAAGUGAAGACUCAUUGCUGAAGACAAAUCUAUAGCUGACCACCUUCCGUGGGUGUGCCAUCAACAUCACAAGCUUCACUUGGAGGCUGUCAGCUUUUGAGUUUUAUGUUUUCUGCAGUAAAAAUAGCAAUACAGCUAUACUCUAUAUUCAAGUUAGUGAGAUUGUAAGAAGGGGACAGGAAAUUGCUUGAAAGAAAUUCUAGUGAAUUAAAGUCCAGAUUCCUAUAAGUCAAGCCAUCUUGUCAACUUGAUAGGGUUGAGAAAGACCUAGAAGAUUAAUAGAGCAUACCUCUGGUUGUAUCAGGGAAAGCAUGAGGGGAAAUCCACCUUUAAUUCAGGAAGUCUCAUCUGUGUCUGGGGACCGUGUUGGAAGAAGAGGAAGCAGGAGAAAUCCUUUGAGCAGCAGACACAUUCUUUGUGCUUCUUUGCUACCAUGAGAUGCUUCCUUGGUGCUCUGCUAGGAUGGGUGGAGUUAAAAAAUAGUUCCUAAGGUUAUUUUUUAACCAAGUAUUCAUCACAGUGAUGAAAACUAGUAUGAUGAGAAAUGUGUCUGCGCCAAUGAAUAUAGUGAUGUUGAUAUUAUAAUUAAUAUUUAUACCUAGGUGAUUUUAAAACAAUAUGAAAACAGGUGUUAAUAGAAUUUCUCUUAAGAAGGUGUUAUUAGAAAAACACACCGAUUACUGAAAAAAGAUACUGAGAGAUUGUUAAUGCAGGCAACACUACUCUAAUGAGUAAUGGACCAUCUAUUUUUUUUUGUUUGAUUGUUUCUUUUUUUCGGAGCUGGGGACUGAACCCAGGGCCUUGCGCUUCCUAGGCAAGCGCUCUACCACUGAGCUAAAUCCCCAACACCGUAAUGGACCAUCUUAAUAAACACAGAGAGAAAAUAACAACAGCAUGCACUUGGCCAAUAGCUCACUGGAGGUCUGUUUCCGAUGCCAGGCUAAGCUGUGCAGAAUCCAAUGAGAAACCGGACACGGUUUGCAAGCGCCAUGGAGUUUCACGUUUCACUUGCAGUAGGUAGCCCUGGAAAGGAAAAGCCAAUGACCACUUGUCCUAAGAGAGCAUCCUGUGCUCAAGCUGAAAACAAGAUACUGGUUGUGUGAGGAACGGGUGAGCAGAAUGGAUAUAUAAUCUAGCAGAAGAUUCUGUCCUGAGAAACCGGUUAUUUUCACAUAUUCAGACAAGGAUGAAUGAGUGUUGUUUCCAAACCUCCAUCUGGCUAAACUCACCAACCAGAAAUGCAUCCACCCACAUCAUCUGGAAAGAAAUCCAAUGUGUAUGCUGCUGCCAGUGACCUCUGUCAGUGGAUGUUUCUCACACUUAUCUGCCCUCUAUUUUCAUGUUUAUAAAAUGUGUUCCCAAGCCCUUUAGGAUAAAAUCAACAAUAGGAACCAGGACUCCAGCAAAGGGGUCCCAGGGGGAGGGGCCGUGCCCUUUGUUCAAGAUGCUCUAAUAGAGUGUGAAACUGACAGGGACAUGGGAGCACCAUUCAGCUGAAAUUAAAGUCUUUGUCCCUUCAUUAGUUAAACUUGAACUUCUCAUUCUGAAGUUCUACAGGGCCACCUUCUCUCAAGCUCUGAUUUAAUCAAGGUGAACAGCAAAGCUCAUUAAAAUCUGUUCUCUUGCUUGCUCUCCUUUUAAGCAAAGAUUGCAAAAAAGUCUCACUUUAGUUUUGGUAUAGUUGUCAUUGUUAAUUCUGGCUGAAUAUUUUAGGAAAUGGCUCUAAAUCUUGUGUGUCCAUCAUUUUUAAUCAUUAAAGAUGUUUAAUUUUCUUUUU